GAUGAAAAGCACUUUGGAAAGAGAGUUAAAAAGUACGUGAAAUUGUUGAAAGGGAAGCGCUUGCAACCAGACUUGCUCGCGGUUGCUCAGCCGGUGUCUCACCGGUGCACUCUUCCGCGAUCAGGCCAGCAUCGGUUUAGGCGGCUGGAUAAAGGCUCUGGGAAUGUGGCUCCUCUCGGGGAGUGUUAUAGCCCGGGGUGCAAUGCAGCCUGCCUGGAUCGAGGACCGCGCUUCGGCUAGGAUGCUGGCGUAAUGGUUGUAAGCGACCCGUCUUGAAACACGGACCAAGGAGUCUAACAUCUAUGCGAGUGUUUGGGUGUCAAACCCAUGCGCGUAAUGAAAGUGAACGGAGGUGGGAACCCUUAAGGGUGCACCAUCGACCGAUCCUGAUGUCUUCGGAUGGAUUUGAGUAAGAGCAUAGCUGUUGGGACCCGAAAGAUGGUGAACUAUGCCUGAAUAGGGUGAAGCCAGAGGAAACUCUGGUGGAGGCUCGCAGCGGUUCUGACGUGCAAAUCGAUCGUCAAAUUUGGGUAUAGGGGCGAAAGACUAAUCGAACCAUUAACUACUAGGUGGUUAAGAGGCGGCUCAAAGUGUCCGUCUAGUCCUGCUCUCCAGGGCGACAUUGUCAAAUUGCGGGGACGUCCUAAAGGCGCUGCUACCAAACAGGCGUGGAAACAUGGUCUGUGGCCGGGGUAAUGACCUAGGGUAUGGUAAAAACGCAGCGCAUGAUCUCUGUCUCGACAGGUGAAAUGGAUAAUCCGCAGCCAAGUCCUACGUCUCGCUUCGCGCGAGAUAUGGAUGCAGUUCACAGACUACAUGGCAAUGGGUCUGCUCCUCAGUCAGGGGCGGGCUUAAGAUAUAGUCGGGCCGCCCAGAGAUGGGUCCGGCAGGAUGAAGUCCCUGGGAUGUGGGAGGCGUCUUGAACGAUGCGUCUCGGGGACCCGCAGCCUGCUGGGAGUUGGUGUAUUCUA
rnacentral:rRNA from 1 species